UUUAACGGAGAGUUUGAUCCUGGCUCAGGACGAACGCUGGCGGCGUGCCUAAUACAUGCAAGUCGAGCGGACUUGAUGGAGUGCUUGCACUUCUGAGAGUUAGCGGCGGACGGGUGAGUAACACGUAGGUAACCUGCCCAUGAGACUGGGAUAACCCACGGAAACGUGAGCUAAUACCAGAUAGGCAUUUUCCUCGCAUGAGGGAGAUGAGAAAGGCGGAGCAAUCUGCCACUUAUGGAUGGACCUGCGGCGCAUUAGCUAGUUGGUAAGGUAACGGCUUACCAAGGCGACGAUGCGUAGCCGACCUGAGAGGGUGAUCGGCCACACUGGGACUGAGACACGGCCCAGACUCCUACGGGAGGCAGCAGUAGGGAAUCUUCCGCAAUGGACGAAAGUCUGACGGAGCAACGCCGCGUGAGUGAUGAAGGUUUUCGGAUCGUAAAGCUCUGUUGCCAGGGAAGAACGCCUAGGAGAGUAACUGCUCCU
rnacentral:rRNA from 1 species